AUUGAACGCUGGCUGCAUGCUUAACACAUGCAAGUCGAACGGUAACGCGAGGAGCUUGCUCCUUGGCGACGAGUGGCGGACGGGUGAGUAAUGCUUGGGAAUCUGCCCAGUAGUGGGGGACAACACGAGGAAACUCGUGCUAAUACCGCAUACGUCCUACGGGAAAAAGUGGGGGAUCUUCGGACCUCACGCUAUUGGAUGAGCCCAAGUCGGAUUAGCUUGUUGGUAGGGUAAUGGCCUACCAAGGCGACGAUCCGUAGCUGGUCUGAGAGGAUGACCAGCCACACUGGGACUGAGACACGGCCCAGACUCCUACGGGAGGCAGCAGUGGGGAAUAUUGGACAAUGGGGGCAACCCUGAUCCAGCCAUGCCGCGUGUGUGAAGAAGGCCUUCGGGUUGUAAAGCACUUUCAGUGGGGAAGAAAAGCCUAAGGAUAAUACCCUUGGGUCUUGACGGUACCUACAGAAGAAGCACCGGCUAAUUCCGUG
rnacentral:rRNA from 1 species